rnacentral:rRNA from 1 species
GGCAAGUCUGGUGCCAGCAGCCGCGGUAAUUCCAGCUCCAAUAGCGUAUAUUAAAGUUGUUGCGGUUAAAAAGCUCGUAGUUGGAUCUCAGCUCAUGCUAAGUGGUCCACCUAAUGGUGGUUACUACUUAGCUGAGCAUUUUACAGAUUUGUCUCUUGAUGCUCUUCACCGAGUGUCAAGAGUGGUCUGUACGUUUACUUUGAAAAAAUUAGAGUGCUUAAAGCAGGCAUCUCGCCCGAAUAAUCUUGCAUGGAAUAAUGGAAUAGGACCUUGGUUCUAUUUUGUUGGUCUCCGGAAUCUGAGGUAAUGAUUAAGAGGGACAGACGGGGGCAUUCGUAUUGCGCCGCUAGAGGUGAAAUUCUUGGACCGGCGCAAGACGAACUACAGCGAAAGCAUUUGCCAAGAAUGUUUUCAUUAAUCAAGAACGAAAGUAGAGGUUCGAAGGCGAUCAGAUACCGCCCUAGUUCUAACCAUA